rnacentral:rRNA from 1 species
CCUACGGGCGACAGCAGUGGGGAAUAUUGCAUAAUGGGGGAAACCCUGAUGCAGCGACGCCGCGUGAGUGAAGAAGUAUUUCGGUAUGUAAAGCUCUAUCAGCAGGGAAGAAAAUGACGGUACCUGAUUAAGAAGCCCCGGCUAACUACGUGCCAGCAGCCGCGGUAAUACGUAGGGGGCAAGCGUUAUCCGGAUUUACUGGGUGUAAAGGGAGCGUAGACGGCAGCACAAGUCUGGAGUGAAAUGCCGGGGCUUAACCCCGGGACUGCUUUGGAAACUGUGCAGCUGGAGUGCAGGAGAGGGAAGUGGAAUUCCGAGGGUAGCGGUGAAAUGCGUAGAUAUUAGGAGGAACACCAGUGGCGAAGGCGGCUUACUGGACUGUAACUGACGUUGAGGCUCGAAAGCGUGGGGAGCAAACAGGAUUAGAUACCCGAGUAGUC